AACGAACGCUGGCGGCAUGCCUAACACAUGCCAGUCGAACGAGACCUUCGGGUCUAGUUGCGCACGGGUGCGUAACGCGUGGGAACCUUCCCUUAGGUUCGGAAUAACUCCCCGAAAGGGGUGCUAAUACCGGAUAAUGUCUUCGGACCAAAGAUUUAUCGCCUUUGGAUGGGCCCGCGUUGGAUUAGCUAGUUGGUAGGGUAAAAGCCUACCAAGGCGACGAUCCAUAGCUGGUCUGAGAGGAUGAUCAGCCACACUGGGACUGAGACACGGCCCAGACUACUACGGGAGGCAGCAGUGGGGAAUAUUGGACAAUGGGCGAAAGCAUGAUCCAGCAAUGCCGCGUGAGUGAUGAAGGCCUUAGGGUUGUAAAGCUCUUUUACCCGGGAUGAUAAUGGCAGUACCGGGAGAAUAAGCUCCGGCUAACUCCGUG
rnacentral:rRNA from 1 species